rnacentral:rRNA from 1 species
GGCGAUGGACAACAGGUUGAUAUUCCUGUACCGCCGUACCACCGUUUGAACGAUGGGGGGACGCAGAAGGAUAAGGUAACCGUGCGACUGGAAGUGCACGGACAAGCAGCGAGGCCGUCGGGUUGGCAAAUCCGCCCGGCANACAAGGUUGAGCUGUGAUGUGGAGCCCGUAGGGCGAAGUACCGGAUUUCACGCUGCCAAGAAAAGCCUCUAGUAAGGAGGUCGGCGCCAGUACCGUAAACCGACACAGGUAGGCGAGAUGAGAAUUCUAAGACGCGCGGGAUAACUCUCGUUAAGGAACUCGGCAAAAUGGUCCCGUAACUUCGGGAGAAGGGACGCUUAUGGCAACAUAAGCCGCAGUGAAUAGGCCCAAACGACUGUUUAGCAAAAACACAGGUCUCUGCUAAAUCGCAAGAUGAAGUAUAGGGGCUGACGCCUGCCCGGUGCUGGAAGGUUAAGGGGAUGUGUCAUCGCAAGAGAAGCACUGAACCGAAGCCCCAGUAAACGGCGGCCGUAACUAUAACGGUCCUAAGGUAGCGAAAUUCCUUGUCGGGUAAGUUCCGACCCGCACGAAAGGCGUAANGAUUUGGGCACUGUCUCAACGAGAGACCCGGUGAAAUCAUAGUACCUGUGAAGAUGCAGGUUACCCGCGACAGGACGGAAAGACCCCAUGGAGCUUUACUACAGCCUGAUAUUGAGGCUUUGUACGCGAUGUACAGGAUAGGUGGGAGUUUGUGAAGCCGGAGCGCCAGCUUCGGUGGAGACAUCCUUGGGAUACCACCCUUUGCGUAUAGAGUCUCUAACUCGCAGCCGUGAUCCGGCUGGAGGACCGUGUCAGGCGGGUAGUUUGACUGGGGCGGUCGCCUCCUAAACAGUAACGGAGGCGCCCAAAGGUUCCCUCAGAAUGGUUGGAAAUCAUUCGUAGAGUGCAAAGGCAGAAGGGAGCUUGACUGCGAGACCUACAAGUCGAGCAGGGACGAAAGUCGGGCUUAGUGAUCCGGUGGUUCCGCAUGGAAGGGCCAUCGCUCAACGGAUAAAAGCUACCCUGGGGAUAACAGGCUGAUCUCCCCCAAGAGUC